ACUCUCGGCAACGGAUAUCUCGGCUCUCGCAUCGAUGAAGAACGUAGCGAAAUGCGAUACUUGGUGUGAAUUGCAGAAUCCCGUGAACCAUCGAGUCUUUGAACGCAAGUUGCGCCCGAAGCCAUUAGGCCGAGGGCACGUCUGCCUGGGCGUCACGCAUCGCGUCGUCCCCUCGCAUCGUGCCUCAAUCAUGGGGCGCGCUUUCAUCGCGGGGCAGAUACUGGCCUCCCGUGCGCCUCGAGCUCGCGGCUGGCCUAAAUGCGAGUCCACGUUGACAGACAUCGCGGCAAGUGGUGGUUGCAACUCAACUCUCUUUGCCGUCGCGGCUACGGCCCGUCGCGCGUUUGGAUUCCAGGACCCCUUCGCGCUGAGGCGCUCCGACCGCGACCCCAGGUCAGGCGGGAUUACCCGUUGAGUUUAAGAAUAUCAAUAAGCGGAGGAAAAGAAACUUACAAGGAUUCCCUUAGUAACGGCGAGGGAAUCGGGAACCGCCCAGCCUUAGAAUCGGGCGGCUCCGUCGUCCGAAUUAUAGUCUGGAGAAGCGUCCUCAGCGGCGGAUCGGGCCCAAGUCCCCUGGAAGGGGGCGCCGGAGAGGGUGAGAGCCCCGUCUUGCCCGGACCGUAUCGCACCAUGAGGCGCUGUCUACGAGUCGGGUUGUUUGGGAAUGCAGCCCAAAUAGGGCGGUGAAUUCCANACCCUGUCGCACCACGAGGCGCUGUCUACGAGUCGGGUUGUUUGGGAAUGCAGCCCAAAUCGGGCGGUGAAUUCCGUCCAAGGCUAAAUACGGGCGAGAGACCGAUAGCGAACAAGUACCGCGAGGGAAAGAUGAAAAGGACUUUGAAAAGAGAGUCAAAGAGUGCUUGAAAUUGUCCGGAGGGAAGCGGAUGGGGGCCGGCGAUGCGCCCCGGUCGUAUGUGGAAUGGCAACGAACCGGUACACCGAUCGACCCGGGGCAUGGACCAACGUGGAUUGGGGGGGCGGCCAAAGCUCGGGCUCUCGAUACGCUCGUGGAAUGUCGUCUCCUCGAUUGUGGCAGGCAGCGCGCGCCUCUGGCGUGCUUCGGCAUGUGCGCGCUCCGGACGCUGGCCUGUGGGCUCCCCAUUCGACCCGUCUUGAAACACGGACCAAGGAGUCUGACAUGUGUGCGAGUCAACGGGCGAGUAAACCCGUAAGGCGUAAGGAAGCUGAUUGGUGGGAUCCCCCCGAGGGGUGCACCGCCGAUCGAUCUUGAUCUUCUGAGAAGGGUUUGAGUUUGAGCAUACCUGUCGGGACCCGAAAGAUGGUGAACUAUGCCUAAGCGGGGCGAAGCCAGAGGAAACUGUGGUGGAGGCCCGCAGCGAUACUGACGUGCAAAUCGUUCGUCUGACUUGUGUAUAGGGGCGAAAGACUAAUCGAACCGUCUAGUAGCUGGUUCCCUCCGAAGUUUCCCUCAGGAUAGCUGGAGCUCGCGUGCGAGUUCUAUCGGGUAAAGCCAAUGAUUAGAGGCCUCGGGGACGCAACGCCCUCGAAUUAUUCUCAAACUUUAAAUAGGUAGGACGGCGCGACUGCUUCAUUAAGCCGCGCCACGGAAUCAAGAGCUCCGAGUGGGCCAUUUUUGGUAAGCAGAACUGGCGAUGCGGGAUGAACCGGAAGCCGGGUUACGGUGCCAAAAUGCGCGCCAACCUAGAUCCCACAAAGGGUGUUGGUCGAUUAAGACAGCAGGACGGUGGUCAUGGAAGUCGAAAUCUGCUAAGGAGUGUGUAACAACUCACCUGCCAAAAUCCGGGCUAGAAGCGAUGCAUGCGCCCGCCGUUCGCUUGCCGACCUGCAGUAGGGGCCUCGGCCCCCAGAGGCACGUGUCGUUGGCUAAGCCACCGCGGCGGAAGGGUCGCGGCGCCCGUCUUGAAGUACAAUUUCCAUCGAGUGGCGGGCAGAAUCCUUUGCAGACAACUUAAAUACGCAACGGGGUAUUAUAAGUGGCAGAGUGGCCUUGCUGCCACGAUCCUCUGAGAUUCAGCCCUUUGUCGCUCCGGUUCGUCCCUCCACAUCCAAUCCAACCACCCUGCCGCCCGUCUCCAAGGGAGGUUCGUGCAUUCAUCCUUGAAAAAUCCCACCAAGUACUGCGAGCUCACCUCACCCGAGUUAGCCAAGCGUCGCGUGCGUUCCAUUCCAAUGAGUUAAGCAUACGAUAUCAAGUGGCCUUUCGCGAAAAACAACAGCAUCGCAACUGGAGGAUUUCCGCGAUUCGGAGUGCGGCAUAAGUGCUCAGCGAAGCAUCGAGAACAACGUCAGUGCGUGGAGGCAUGCCUCAAUUAGAGGUUUUUGUGACCGUCUAGUGCAAUGCUGGAGACGCCUCCAAUGACGAACGCCGACGGACGUAUAGUGGCCUGCCAUGGUGGUGUCUUUGUCAAGUUGGAUAUCCGUGCACCGUGGCACCAAGGCAGCUUGGCACCGUGGCGCCAUGGCACCAAGGCACCGUGGCGCCAUAGCACCAAGGCACCAUGGCUGCGUGGCGCCAUGGCACCAAGGCACCAAGGCACCAAGGCAACGUGGCGCCAUGGCACCAAGGCACCAAGGCACCGUGGCGCCAUGGCACCGUGGAGCCAUGGCACCGUGGCGCCAUUGGCACCGUGGAGCCAUGGCACCGUGGCGCCAUUGCACCGUGGCGCCAUGGCACCGUGGCGCCAUGGCACCGUGGCGCCAUGGCACCAUGGCACCAAGGCACCGAGGCACCGUGGCGCCAUGGCACCAAGGCGGCGUGGCGCCCUGGCACCGUGGCACACAGGCACCGUGGCACCAUGGCACCGUGCCACACAGGCACCGUGGCACACAGGCACCAUGGCACCAAGGCAGCUUGGCACCGUGGCGCCAUGGCACCAAGGCACCAAGGCACCAUGGCACCAUGGCACCAUGGCACCAAGGAAGAAAGGCACCUUGGCACCUUGGCACCUUGGCACCGUGGCGCCAUGGCGCCGUGGCACCUUGGCACCAUGGCACCGGGGCAUCGUGGCACCAUGGCACCAAGGCACUGCCGUGGUGCCAUGGCACCAAGGCACCAAGGGACCGUGGCACCAUGGCACCAAGGCAGCAUGGCGCCAUGGCACCAAGGCACCGUGGCACCAUGGCACCAAGGCACCAAUGCACCGUGGCCCCAUGGCACCAUGGCACCGUGGCACCGUGGCACCGUGGUACCUUGGCACCAUGGCACCAAGGCACCAAUGCACCGUGGCACCAAUGCACUGUGGCACCAUAGCACCGUGGCACCAUGGCACCAAGGCAGCAUGGCACCUUGGCACCAAGGCACCGUGGCGCCGUGGCACCGUGGCAGCAAGGCACCAUGGCACCAAGGCACUAACGCACCGUGGCAAAAUCAAAAGAGCGUAAACCUACGUUCCAUCAUCCUAAUAUUUUCCUGACGUUCUUCCAUCCUCCUCACCGUUGCAUACUCAUUUUUCUACAUAUCCGCUCUAAUUUUUUUAUUUU
rnacentral:rRNA from 1 species